AUGACAUUAUUACACACUGCAAUGAAAAUAAAAAACCCCUCUGCUGUCAUUGUUGGCAACAUGUUGACACCAUAUACCCACACACAGUUAACUAGUGUCUUACUAAUAUCAGGUUUAGUGAAACCUCAGAGUGCAGUGUUAGUCUCAGCAGCCAACACUUUUAACCCAAGUUUUCCAGUUAUUUCACACAUGGAUAAUAAUCCACCUUUAUUUUUCCAGCAACAGGGAGUUGAUGGCGACAUAAAGGAAGAGCCCCAGAGGAGAUCUGCAAGGCUAUCAGCGAAACCUGCUCCUCCAAAGCUGGAACCAAAACCAAAAAAGGCAGCUAAGAAGGAGAAAGUUGUCAACGACAAAAAGGAAGACAAAAAGUCUAAGGGAAAGAAAGGGAAGACAGAUGAUGAAGCCAUGGAGGAGAACCACUCGGAAAAUGGAGACGCAAAAGCUAACAAGGUGGAGGAGACUCCUGAGCAGCCGGAGAAGGAUGAGGCAAAGUCUGAGUAGUAAUGCCUCCCUCACAUCCCUUUCUUCAACAGCCACCGAAAUGUUUCAUAGUUUUCCGGAAACCUCCAUCACUUGUAAACAGAGGAAUAUUUUUAUCAGCGGUUUUAUAAAUAUCGUUACAGGUUUUUAGCACAAUUCCAGGCUAAGCAUUGAGCAACUUGCCGUUUUGCAGUACUCUUGUCAAGUAUCUGCAAAGUAAGCAAAGGCCACACCCCCCUCCUUUUUUAUUUUUAAGAAUUUUUUGUGAUUGUUACUAGAUUGUUGAGCAUAGGAAAUACUACCAGCUGGUUUUUCACCGAGUAUUGUCACAACCCGUGUUUUUGCCCUUCCGGAAGUGUUUUACUUCUGUGGUUAGUUUGUCGUCUGUAUGUGCAGUGUCGUUUCUUGGUUUUGUUUUGAAAUGUUUUGGAUUUAUUCAGGGAGGGGUGUCCCGCAUAAAAUGGUAUGUCUAUAACAGAAUAGCUAAACUGAAGACAUUCCAGCUGUAUAUUUUUUUUUUUUUUGGAUUUUUCCCCUCUUUAAAUAAUGUUAGGAAUUAUGAAUAGUAAAAACUUGUGUGGUCACACUAUAGUUUUUUUUUUUUUUUUUUUUUUUUUUUUAAACACUAUCAAAAUUCAGACAUCUAAUGAAUGAUGCAGUUAUCUGUGUGUACCCAUUAUGUUGUGGAUGUCUAAUAAAAAUAAUCCUUGGAAUUUUUUUUCUUCUUUC
rnacentral:lncRNA from 1 species